AGCCCAUGGUGUAGAAACCUUCUAAGUAGAUCCUUAAAUCGCUCCCAAGCUUCAUACAAGUACUCACCAUCAAAUUGUGUAAAAGCAAUUAUAUCAUUCCUCAUUUU
rnacentral:snoRNA from 1 species